GUGGCACACCUGUACUUGGCCCACCUGUAGAGGAGACGCAAGACAGGAAAAGAGCAACAAGGAGGAGGAGCCCGGCAGGUCCGUGACACACACACACUCACCCAUACAUCACACAUCUCAACAUCCAACAGCUAUCUAGAAGGUCACACACACACACACAUACAUACAUCACACAUCUCAACAUCCAACACAUAUCUAGAAGGUCACACACACACACACACACUCCCUUUCUCCUCUGUGCUCUCUAUAUUUGUUUGACUGAUGACUCAUUUCAGAGAGUUUACUAAGGGUUAAAUGAUGUAAAACGGUUUAUUUCUGUUCAGAUGCAUAUUUGUAUUCAUGGCUUAAUAGAAAGUUACUGUUUUAAGAAAAGGAUGUUUUAAAGUUUUUACAGCAUUCUUAUUUGUUGUGACGACCGCAUACAAUACUGUGUAAAGCACUCAAAGCAAUGCUUUUCUAAUGCGCACUGAUCCUUCAACAUAGAGUUCCCUUCAGUAUAGAGUUCCCUUCAGCAUAGAGUUCCCUCCCAGCACACUGACCCUUCAGCAUAGAGUUCCCUCCAGCAUCUGUGGCCGUAGGGGAGUGUGAGCUGCCAGACUCCACACACUCUUCACACACUCCUGUAAGACUUGCACAGGUCCACACACUCCUGCUCUACUCUGUGCUUCUUGGUGGCCACCCCUGAUUUGAUGGGAAUAAAGGGAAACUGCUGAAUGA